UGGGGGAUAUUGCACAAUGGGCGAAAGCCUGAUGCAGCGACGCCGCGUGGGGGAUGAAGGCUUUCGGGUUGUAAACCUCUUUCGCUAUCGAACAAGGCCCGCUUAGGGUGGGUUGAGGGUAGGUGGAGAAGAAGCGCCGGCUAACUACGUGCCAGCAGCCGCGGUAAUACGUAGGGCGCGAGCGUUGUCCGGAAUUAUUGGGCGUAAAGGGCUUGUAGGCGGCUUGUUGCGCCUGCUGUGAAAACGCGGGGCUUAACUUCGCGCGUGCAGUGGGUACGGGCAGGCUUGAGUGUGGUAGGGGUGACUGGAAUUCCAGGUGUAGCGGUGGAAUGCGCAGAUAUCUGGAGGAACACCGAUGGCGAGGGCAGGUCACUGGGCCAUUACUGACGCUGAGGAGCGAAAGCAUGGGUAGCGAACAGG
rnacentral:rRNA from 1 species